rnacentral:rRNA from 1 species
GGCAAACGGGUGAGUAACGCGUGGGAAUCUACCCAUCUCUACGGAAUAACACAGAGAAAUUUGUGCUAAUACCGUAUACGUCCUUAGGGAGAAAGAUUUAUCGGAGAUGGAUGAGCCCGCGUUGGAUUAGCUAGUUGGUGAGGUAACGGCUCACCAAGGCGACGAUCCAUAGCUGGUCUGAGAGGAUGAUCAGCCACACUGGGACUGAGACACGGCCCAGACUCCUACGGGAGGCAGCAGUGGGGAAUAUUGGACAAUGGGGGCAACCCUGAUCCAGCCAUGCCGCGUGAGUGAUGAAGGCCCUAGGGUUGUAAAGCUCUUUCACCGGUGAAGAUAAUGACGGUAACCGGAGAAGAAGCCCCGGCUAACAACGUGCCAGCAGCCGCCCUAAUACGAAGGGGGCUAGCGUUGUUCGGAUUUACUGGGCGUAAAGCGCAGCUAGGCGGAAUUUUAAGUCAGAGGUGAAAUCCCAGGGCUCAACCCUGGAACU